rnacentral:rRNA from 1 species
AUACGUAGGACCCGAGCGUUGUCCGGAUUUACUGGGUGUAAAGGGUGCGUAGGCGGACUUGUACGUCGGAGGUUAAAUCUCUAGGCUCAACCUAGAAACUGCCUUCGAAACGGCAAGCCUUGAGUGUGAGAGAGGAUGAUAGAAUUCCUGGUGUAGCGGUGAAAUGCGUAGAUAUCAGGAGGAAUACCAGUGGCGAAGGCGGUCAUCUGGCUCAUUACUGACGCUGAGGCACGAAAGCGUGGGGAUC